CACUAUCGAUAGUAAUUUAUUUUGACUGUCGAUGGUUUAUGCUUAUUUAUUAAAUAAUGUUGAAUGGAAACAAAUUAGUAAUUAAAACAAAAAACAAAAACAUAAUAGAACCAUUAAAAAAUUAAUCAUCGUAAUAUUAAGAAGCAGUUCGGUCAAGAGAGCAACACAUCUUAAAAAAAAUUAUAAAAUUUUGAACGUAAUUUGACAAAAAGAAACGUAUGAGUUUAUAUUUACUUAAUAUUUAGUUGAGUAUCCAUUUUGGGAAAUUACGGAUGUACAUCUUCUCGGCAUUGAUAACACUAAAUCCGCGCAUGUCAUUGGAAAUUUUCUGACUUUCCUGUUGAAUAACUGCCCAUAAAUCGUACAUUGUCUUCAGUUUCAGUGCCAUGACUCGCCUCGUCUGGACUCUGUGCCAUUUCAGCAAUGGAAUUGCCUGGUGUUGAAGCCACUGAAUCACAGACCUCGACUUAUGGCAGGGUGCAUUGUCCUGUUGGAAAACUGCUAUGGUGUAUACAGAUAACAGUAAAUGUUCCACAAUCGGUACGAGAUAGUUUUCUAGUAUGCUACAGAAUAUAUCUUGCCCGUUAUCAGCACAAUAGGACCAACACCAUACUUGGUAAAGCCACCCCACACCAUAACACUUCCCCCACCGGGUACUAACAAUCUUCUUGGUAUACUUCUGGUCCAAUUUUUUAUUUGGGGGUGUCGAACAUAAGUUUUUCCAUCAGGCCCGUGUAAGUUGAAUUUAGAUUUGUCGCUCCAAACUACAGAAUUUCAGAAGGAAAGAGUAGAAUCCCUAUGCAGUCUGAUAAAUUCCAAUCGCGCCUUUCGAUCAUUGUGUGAAACUUUUAGACAUUGGCAUGCCCGAAGGUUUUUUUUUCCAAAAGUAGCUGUCUAAAUGUCCUGCUGGCAAUGUUUACGCUAUAUUCAUCGUACACUGAAGCUCGUAUUUGCGAGGAAGUUCCAAAAGGAUAUUUAAGCGCCUGCCGAACAAUGAGUGAAUCUUCUCUUUUUGUGGUCUUUUUGCGUCUAGAUCUCUUUUUAUUUGCAAAUGUUUUAUUCUCACAAAAAUAUCUGGGAGCGUUUUGAAUUUCUAAUGCAACGAUAAAAAUCACUAAUUUUUUUUCCGUCCUGGAACAUGUUCCAUAUUAAUCGCCUUUCCUCUUCAAUGGGGCUCUUGGAACGUCCAAUUUUCAAUAUUUCACACUGAUGUCUAUUAAAAAUUUUACUUACAACUAAUCUCAAAGAAAAAUCACAACCAUAAACGCAAACGAAUUACGAAAAACUUCUCUGAUGGCACCGUGUGCUAAUUAAAAUGCCAGUCUGAAUCAAAUGCUUUUAUGAAGUAAAGGCAUACUUCUUUGAAAACGAUCCCAAAAUUUUCAGUAAUGCGUUCAUAACGACAAAAUAACAACUUAUUAAUAUACAAGAAAAGAAUGUUCUAAAAUACCGUUUUUCAAGCAGUACUAUUGGAAUAGCAGGAUCAGGGACUCUGCGCUUUGUUGAAAUCUCACAUGUAUGAGUUGCCUAGACGAGAAAUAAUAAUUAACCCACCAAUGUGUUCCAUUUUAAGCCCAAAAGGGAAGAUACAACAGUUUUCCUGCAUUGCACAGGGCAUGUGCCAGUCGCUGCACCGAUGCACCUUUUAGUAUUUUAACGGUUCGAAUGAACAUUCGUACACUAGUCGCGCAUCUCAAUGGCUUAUGGGCAGGUUCAUAAAACUUAAUGCAUGCAGCGAAACAUGAACAGUGACCUUAACAGUAAGUAACGAUAAUAAUCACACCUAGGUAGCUGCCGUAUGGUUAAGAAAACGGGAUAUGUGCAUUGCCGGUAACUGCUUCUUAUUAUAAUAGCAAGAGACCUUCUACACCUCCUGAUAGCCACCUGAGUGUAUUACUCUAAUUGAGGGAAAGCGGUUGCAUUGACUACUUUGCAAAUUUUUGCCAACAUAAAUGCUUCCUGAUAACGGGAUGGAUAACAGAUACAAUGAGAUUAACCAAAUGGCCAACCAAAGAUGUAGUGAGGCCAAUUGCGCCCUUCGCCAGCGGCAUUAGAUUCCAAUGUUGAUGAUGAUUUCAGAAAAGUUUGGUCUGUUUCUUGCCUUGCCUGUUUAUGGAGAAGUGGACCUGCCGUAACACUUAUAAAGCCAAUAAUUUGCAUCAACAUUGUUUUUUUUCAUCAAAACACGAAAUGAGCGAAUAAGCAAAUAAAUAAAUAAAACAUUUA